AUUGAACGCUGGCGGCAGGCUUAACACAUGCAAGUCGAGCGGGGAAAGUUGCUUCGGUAAUUGACCUAGCGGCGGACGGGUGAGUAAUACUUAGGAAUCUGCCUAUUAAUGGGGGACGACAUCUCGAAAGGGAUGCUAAUACCGCAUACGCCCUACGGGGGAAAGCAGGGGAUCACUUGUGACCUUGCGUUAAUAGAUGAGCCUAAGUCGGAUUAGCUAGUUGGUGGGGUAAAGGCCUACCAAGGCGACGAUCUGUAGCGGGUCUGAGAGGAUGAUCCGCCACACUGGGACUGAGACACGGCCCAGACUCCUACGGGAGGCAGCAGUGGGGAAUAUUGGACAAUGGGGGAAACCCUGAUCCAGCCAUGCCGCGUGUGUGAAGAAGGCCUUAUGGUUGUAAAGCACUUUAAGCGAGGAGGAGGCUCUUUUGGUUAAUACCCAAGAUGAGUGGACGUUACUCGCAGAAUAAGCACCGGCUAACUCUGUGCCAGCCGCCGCGGUAAGAC
rnacentral:rRNA from 1 species